CAUAUACUCUCUCUGUCCCAAAAUAAGUGACUCAAAAAUGACUUAAUUUUGUACUAAAGUUAUUGUAAAUUUGAGUUGGUUUUGAGUCACUUAUUUUGGGACAGAGGGAGUAUAUA
rnacentral:pre_miRNA from 2 species